rnacentral:rRNA from 1 species
UGGGGAAUAUUGGACAAUGGGCGAAAGCCUGAUCCAGCCAUGCCGCGUGUGUGAAGAAGGUCUUCGGAUUGUAAAGCACUUUAAGUUGGGAGGAAGGGCAGUAAGCGAAUACCUUGCUGUUUUGACGUUACCGACAGAAUAAGCACCGGCUAACUCUGUGCCAGCAGCCGCGGUAAUACAGAGGGUGCAAGCGUUAAUCGGAAUUACUGGGCGUAAAGCGAGGGUAGGUGGUUCGUUAAGUUGAAUGUGAAAGCCCCGGGCUCAACCUGGGAACUGCAUCCAAAACUGGCGAGCUAGAGUAGGGCAGAGGGUGGUAGAAUUUCCUGUGUAGCGGUGAAAUGCGUGGAUAUAGGAAGGAACACCAGUGGCGAAGGCGACCACCUGGGCUCAUACUGACACUGAGGUGCGAAAGCGUGGGGAGCAAACAGG